UCUUUUUGUUUUUUAUAUAAGGUCAGACCUGCCCAAUGAAUUUUAAAUGGCCGCAGUACUUUAACUGUGCAAAGGUAGCAUAAUAAUUUGUUUUUUAAUUGGAAACUAGUAUGAAUGGUCAUACGAGGGAUUGACUUUCUUUAUCUUACUUAAAUUAAUUUUAUUUUUCUGUGAAAAAGCAGAGAUUUCAUUAGUAGACGAUAAGACCCUUUAAAACUUUAUUCAUUAUAGAAGUAUAAUUUUAUUAGGUUUUAAUAGUGUACUUUUUUAAUGAGUUUUGUUGGGGCGACAGGUAAAUUUAUUUAACUUUAUUUUUGUUUUUCACUAAUUAGUGUUUAUUUGAUCCAGAUUUAGUUUUGAUUAUAAGUUUAAGUUACUUAAGG
rnacentral:rRNA from 1 species